rnacentral:rRNA from 1 species
AUUGAACGCUGGCGGCAGGCCUAACACAUGCAAGUCGAACGAGUGGCGGACGGGUGAGUAAUGUCUGGGAAAGUGCCUGGUGGAGGGGGAUAACUACUGGAAACGGUAGCUAAUACCGCAUACCAUCAGAUGUGCCCAGAUGGGAUUAGCUAGUUGGUGGGGUAACGGCUCACCAAGGCGACGAUCCCUAGCUGGUCUGAGAGGGUGAUCAGCCACACUGGAACUGAGACACGGUCCAGACUCCUACGGGAGGCAGCAGUGGGGAAUAUUGGACAAUGGGCGAAAGCCUGAUGCAGCCAUGCCGCGUGUGUGAAGAAGGCCUUCGGGUUGUAAAGUACUUUCAGCGGGGAGGCGUUACCCGCAGAAGAAGCCCCGGCUAACUACGUGCCAGCAGCCGCGGUAAUUC